rnacentral:rRNA from 1 species
AUAUCAAUAAGCGGAGGAAAAGAAACUAACAAGGAUUCCCCUAGUAACUGCGAGUGAAGCGGGAAAAGCUCAAAUUUAAAAUCUGAUGGCCUUCAGCCAUCCGAGUUGUAAUUUAGAGAAGCGUCUUCCGCGCCGGACCGUGCACAAGUCUCCUGGAAUGGAGCGUCAUAGAGGGUGAGAAUCCCGUUUGGAUGCACGACGUCUGUGUAUACGAGGCACUCUCUAAGAGUCGAGUUGUUUGGGAAUGCAGCUCAAAAUGGGUGGUGAACUCCAUCUAAAGCUAAAUAUUGGCGAGAGACCGAUAGCGCACAAGUA